CCUACGGGAGGCAGCAGUGGGGAAUCUUGCGCAAUGGGCGAAAGCCUGACGCAGCAACGCCGCGUGGGGGAUGAAGGCUCUCGGGUUGUAAACCCCUUUCAGCAGGGACGAAUCAAGACGGUACCUGCAGAAGAAGCUCCGGCUAACUACGUGCCAGCAGCCGCGGUAACACGUAGGGGGCAAGCGUUGUCCGGAUUUAUUGGGCGUAAAGAGCUCGUAGGUGGCUGAGUAAGUCGGGUGUCAAAUCCCCAGGCUCAACCUGGGACCCCACCCGAUACUGCUCUGGCUAGAGUCCGGUAGGGGAGCGUGGAAUUCCUGGUGUAGCGGUGAAAUGCGCAGAUAUCAGGAGGAACACCAGCGGCGAAGGCGGCGCUCUGGGCCGGUACUGACACUGAGGAGCGAAAGCGUGGGUAGCAAACAGGAUUAGAUACCCUGGUAGUCCACGCCGUAAACGUUGGGCACUAGGUGUGGGGUCUUUUCAACGGACUCCGUGCCGUCGCUAACGCAUUAAGUGCCCCGCCUGGGGAGUACGGCCGCAAGGCUAAAACUCAAAGGAAUUGACGG
rnacentral:rRNA from 1 species